UCUGUACAAUCACAUCCUUACACAUCACUUGUCCUGGUGUGCUAGAAUUCUCAGAGAGAAUAUACUGAUCUUAAUUCACUGGUGAAGGUAACCAGUACCCCUAUUACUACCUAGGUCAGAAACAUGG